rnacentral:snoRNA from 1 species
GAAAAUGAUGAGACAACACUGGAAUCUCGUUCGUCUGAAUACUGAUGAGAAUCACAAAUCUGACACCA